AUGCAUAUAGUGCUUGGUUUCUGUAAAAGUGCCUCACUUCAGCUGCUCCUUCCUGACCACCGAGCACAUGGAUCAUUCUCUUUCUACGUCUUUCAGUAUGUUGUAGAUUAUAGUAUGUACCUUCUUGGCAACCACUGUACCACUUUCUGUGGUGAAUCCAUGUGAUUGUUGGGCCUAAGGAAAGGCCUAGUAGUUGCAAGGAUGGGAAAAAGAUACUUUGGGGCACUACAACUCUGAGAAUAUGCCAGAAUGCACCUGGCAGCAUGGGAAGUUCCCUUCUUGUGAAGCAAAGCAAAGCCUGCUGCUUAUGAAGCAAUGUUUCCCAUCUCUGAAGAGGAUGAAGAUGAGACGCCACAAGCUCUUUUUGACUCUCUGCAUGGCUGGUCUUUGCCUCAUCUCUUUCCUUCACUUCCUAAAGGCCCUCUCAUACGUCACAUUCCCCAGGGAACUGGCCUCGCUUAGCCCCAACCUGGUCUCCAACCUUUUCUGGAACAAUGCGCCUAUUACCCCUCAGGUCAGUCCUGAGCCUGGGGGCCCAGAUUUCCUUCGCACCCCACUCUACUCCCACUCACCUCUGCUCCAGCCCCUUUCUCCAAGCAGAGCUGGUGAGGAGCUGCACAAAGUGGAGUUUGUGCUGCCUGAAGAUACUACAGAAUAUUUUGUACAUACCAAAGCUGGCGGUAUCUGCUUUAAACCGGGCACCAAGGUGUUGGAGAAACCACCAGCAGGCAAGCCAGAUGAGAAAACCGAGGGAGCUGUUUCAGGGCAAGUAGGCCGGAAACCUCUGAGCGCCAGUGGGACAAAGCGGCGUAAGUGGGUGGAGUGUGUGUGCUUGCCCGGUUGGCAUGGACCUAGCUGUGGCGUGCCCACUGUGGUGCAGUACUCAAACUUGCCCACAAAAGACCGUCUAACUCCUCGGGAAGUACCCCGUAGAGUCAUUAACGCCAUCAAUGUAAAUCAUGAAUUCGACCUCUUGGAUGUGCGUUUCCACGAGCUGGGUGAUGUGGUGGAUGCCUUCGUGGUCUGCGAGUCAAAUUUCACAGCCUAUGGCGAGCCACGACCCCUCAAGUUCCGUGAGAUGCUGCUCAACAGCUCCUAUGACUACAUCCGCCACAAAGUGCUCUACGUCUUCCUGGACCACUUCCCCCCUGGUGGUCGCCAGGAUGGCUGGAUCGCUGAUGACUACCUACGCACUUUUCUUACUCGGGAUGGCAUUUCCCGCCUCCGUAAUCUGCGUCCUGAUGAUGUCUUCAUCAUUGAUGAUGCUGAUGAAAUUCCAGCCCGUGACGGUGUGCUCUUUCUUAAACUCUACGAUGGCUGGACAGAGCCCUUUGCUUUCCAUAUGCGCAAAUCUCUCUAUGGAUUCUUCUGGAAGCAGCCUGGCACCCUCGAGGUAGUUUCUGGCUGCACAGUGGGGAUGCUCCAGACUGUUUAUGCUACCGAUGGGAUUCGCUUACGUCGCAGAGAAUACUAUACCAUGCCAGGCUUUCGACAAUAUGAAAACAGCACAGGGCACAUCCUGGUACAGUGGUCGCUAGGCAGUCCGCUCCAUUUUGCUGGCUGGCACUGCUCAUGGUGUUUUACACCUGAAGGGAUCUACUUUAAACUGGUAUCAGCUCAGAAUGGGGAUUUUCCCCGCUGGGGUGACUAUGAGGACAAAAGAGACCUUAAUUAUAUCCGGGAGCUGAUCCGGACUGGUGGUUGGUUUGAUGGUACUACCCAGGAGUACCCUCCAGCAGACCCCAAAGAACAAAUGUAUGCCCCAAAAUAUCUGUUAAAGAACUACCAGCGAUUUAGGUACUUACUGGAGAACCCCUACCAGAAGUCAGAGGGGGCUGGGUGACGGGAAUGGGGCUUGCAUGAGAAAAGGGGACCUUAUGGGAAAAGGGGACAGUCAGAUGUGUCUUUUGGUUUUCCUUCCUUCCCCCACCCACUUCUGCUGGGGAAGUGUAUGUUCUCUCCAGCCUCUGCCUGCCCCAAGGGACCUGGGUGUAUAUGCGUAAGGGGGAUUCCUAACCAUGUAAAUGAAGACCAGAAGAUGUGGGAACUGACCCUAAGAACUAGCAGGAGGUACAGCUCCAUAACCCUUUUGUAGGAGGGAAGAAGAAAAACAUCUGAUGCAGGGCGCACCUCUCUGUGUGACAUCGUAAUGCACAGGGGCUUGAAGCUGGAUGUGCAAGGGUGUGAAUGUGCCAACACCUCUACAGUCAUUGAGUGUAGAUGAGGAUGGUGUUGAACUCUGCAUUUAUUUAAAAAGAAAGAAAGACAACCCCCCCCUUUUUUUUUGUUUUUGUUUCUUCUGAGUCUUUUGAAAACAGUGUCUCUUCCACAGGCUCUGCUCUCCUAAAAUACUGUCGCUUGUUAGGCCCAUAGAGAUUGCAGACAGAAUGCAGGUGGGAGUUUCUUACCUUUGUUGUUUUGAAAAACAUAGGAUGGCGUUUGGCCAAAGAACAUAGUGAGCGUUCUGCUUUAUAGCUGAAACAGACAAUUGGCUAUGGAAACUUCACCAGAAAAGGGUGUGUGCGUGUGCUCAAGAGUGCAUAUAUAAGGGAGAAGUUUUGUAGAUCACAACAGGAGUUGUUCUCAUCUCAAGUAUGUAUAUUUUUGCCACGUGUGCUCUGUUACAUUAAGGUGUAAGAGUGUGUCUUCCCACAACAUGGGAGCAUGGGAACACCAAAGAACUCUGCUUUCCAUCUCAUGAUUACAGACAUUCAGGGAAACUCUACAAACUGGCAGGCUAUGAAAGUGGGAAAGUGCUGUUUCUGGUAGCCAGCCAGCCAAGCUGGUUUCGAUGUGUAAGUAAGACAGCAAUAGGGCCUCUUGGCCCUUCGAUUUGCAAAGGAUGUGUCUAUUGUUCACACGUUUCCCUCUUUGCAACAAAAUGUGAUGUUUACAAUUUUUGUUAAGAUGGGGAGUGUGUGUAAUGCUUUGAACUGUGUCUAAGAAAAGGAGGCAUUGGGAUACAAACCUUCCAGUGCCCACCCUACUGCUUCUGGAACAGGAGAGGUGUAAUGGUACUUGGCUCUAUGAUGCCAACAUUUUGAGGACAAUGUUAUAUUGUUAGCUGAACUUUUGCAUAUUCGGUAAGGUGGUUUGCAUUGGGGAAAGGAGCAUACGUGCUUGAUGGAACUGAUAUUAAGAGACCAUGGUUAAAUCCACCUGCCAAGUAUUUCAGUACUCAGUGGAUGUUUGCAUCCUUGUCCUUCACUGAAAUGGCUCCAGUGUGUCUCCAAUCAAUUGAUGGAGUCUUUGGCUCUUAGUUCAGGGUGAAAAUUACUGCAAAUCCCAUGUUAUGUUUGCUGCUAAGGAAAUAUAUGAAGCAAUGAGCCACUAUGCUUACAGAAAUAAAUAGUUGAGAUGUGUGCAGUGAGAGGAAAAGCCCCACACUACUAAAAUGGGUGUUUUGGUUUUUGUGCGUGUGUGUGUGUGUUUUUUUCCAUCAGGACAGUCUGUUUGUUUGGUAUUGUAUUUGUCUCUCUGUUCCCCUCCACUUUCACACUCUUUCCUGUUUUUAUUUAAAUUCCUCCCAUUCCCUCCAGAAGACAAAGAAAACAGUGCAUGUUUGGCAGUCUUUGCCAACCUGGUGGUGUUCAUAUGUGUUGUGCAACAAUUCCUUUCACCCCCCACCCAUGCUCCAACAUGCCUGAUGUUUGGUUUCUGCGAGGUGCUUGGCAAGUUCAUUUUUUCAAAUGAGAAAUCACUAACCAUGGACUCACCCUUUGGGUGCUGCCACUGGCCCUGUAGACACUCAGAUAGUACUGUACCUGGAAGCAAUAACUUCUCUUCUAGUAGCAACCUUUGUGGAAUGGGGAUGUCAACAAAGAGGCAAUUGGCUUUUGUGCUGUGGCCAAUCGCAGGAUGGCUCCUUGUAUCAGUCAAGGGCUAUGUGACGGGGGGGGGCAGGUGGGCGGAGAGGAUGGUUUUAUGAACUAACUAUUCACCUUAUUAAAAUGGAGUAACGUCUGGCACCCUUCUGCACCGUAGGGAGUUGCCCUUGUUGCCACCAAAUUUCAGCUGUAACUGCAGCAUCAGAUGGACAGCACUGAGGUGAAUACAGCACUGAAGUCAUUUGAAGUCUCUUUUCUGAGACAGGAGAAGUCCAGGGAUGGCUUUGUUACCAUUUACCUUGUGUACUACCAUGAGGCAGUCCUGGACUAUGUAAAAAUCCCCACUUUAUGUACACUGGUCCUUGCUUUGUCAGGCAUUUAGCUGCCCCACAAAAUGGGCUGCAUUGUCAAUGGAGAAGGAUCCUAAUCCUGGGCCCAGUGGGGAAAAGUUUAAUAGAACCGGUUGUGACUUGCAGAGCCAGCUCGACACUGUUGUACAGCAUAGCAGUAGCUCAGGACUGGAGUCAGUGAAACACGUGAGUCUCAGGACUACCACACAGAGAAAUGGAAGAAAUGAAUAUUUUCGAAGCUCUGCUUCAUCAUUACUAGUGGAUGUUUGAGCAGUGGGAAGGUAGACUCUCCAACUAUUAUGGCAUGGAGAAUCUGUGCACUUGCUCUCUGAGAGUUAGGGCCUAGCUGGGAGCCAGAGGUAGGUAUGAAGCUUCGGAGUUCACAAAUACAGAGAAAAAUAGCCCAUCAAGAAAUGGCACCCAAGGAGGUACAUCCUCAAUAUUGGACUGUUUCAAAUGGCAAAUUGCACCCCUCCCUCCCUCCCUUGUUUUAAUCUAGGCCAGCUCAUUUGUUCACUUGCGUCCCUGAACUUGCUGGACAGGGCGUGCUUUGUGCAUGUGUCUCUAGGGCUGGCAAUCACAAUUACAGCUCAUGAAUUCUUAAUUCUUCCAUCUCUAUAGUCUCUGGGCACCAUCCCUCUGUCUCUGAAGAGCAACCCAGUGCGGCAAUUCUCAGCCCCUCCUUUAUCCUUUCUGCAAUGCUUUGACCAUUUUUCCCCUUCCUCACUCCCAUUACCAUCCCCCCUUCCCCAUUUUCUUCGUUCUUUUCCUCCCACCCUCCUCCACUGUUCUGCACAAGGAACAGAUCCCAUUGUAACUGGAUAAGUUAGUACUGAAUUCCUGUGGGACUCUGAAAGGGCGCUUUGUUCUAGUCUCCUUCUUUGACUGCACCAAAGUGAAACUUGAAACUGACCUCUGUUGGGGGAGAAUGUACAGUAAAAGCUUGGCUUCUUUAAAAAAAAAACAAAAGACAAAAGACAAAAACCCACAACCCAACUGCCCCCUUGUUCAUAUAGUUGGUUUUCAAAGAAAACUUCCCCUUAAAAGACUGCUGGUUCAAUUAUUUAUUCUGUAGCUGGAACCUAGACCCACAGAGUUGACAUUAAGGAACUUUGCACUAAUGAAAACACAUUGAGUUUGUGCUGACAGAGCGGAGGGCCAGGUGGGGUAGUAGUUAAAGGAGGAAUGACUUUAGGGGAAUGCCUUGGCAAUCAAUGAGUUAUUUGAAGCAAUUAAUCAGAACUCCUAAGGAAAGAAAAAAGAGAUGAUUGGGUACAUGGAUUUGCACUGAGCCUGGAGGAGCUUCUGAAAAAUGGCUCACAUCUUAUACUGUGUGUGACAGGUAGAAGAGGCCAAGCAUUUGCUCAUAAGCCUCAGGAAAGAGUCUCUUGAUGAUUUAAGAGUGUGCACUAACUGAGGAGGCCCACAUGGUUAGAGGGCAGAUAAAUAAGAGACAGCACACAGGUGCCACCUUGCAGUGAGUUUAAGGUAACUGGGUGAUGAUAUCAUACAGAGUGCCUGACCUCGCACCUCGAAACUAAAUGUCAGCUGGUGGUGGAGGGCAAAACUGCUCCUUCUGGAGUGCAGCGGUGGCCACAUACAUGUUUGAAGCUGCCAGUGCUGUUAUUCUUUUGCUUCCGGUAAUUUCAAAGGUUUAGUUUGAUUGGGCUACAGCUUUCAUUUAAAAUCAGUGUAAAUGCAUGUACAGAAUCUCUGUAGGAAAUUCACUGCAUCUAUAUUCACUGUCUUAAACCGUUGAAAGGGGAACAUCUCAAAAAAAACCCCCAAACAAACAAACUUCUGACAAUUUAACAGCAGAGUAAACAGGAUGGACUGAAGGGUUCAAGGGGUUCUUCCCCUUGUGGGCUGGAAGGACCAAAGCAGUCUUCUCCAGAGUGCUGCAUCCAAAGCUUAGCAAAGGCACUUUUCAGGAAUACAGCUCCAAGAAUUGCCCAACUACGAUGCCCAGUGGUCAAAUAGUAACUUCUUUCAGCUCUGAGGCCUGCAGUUGGCUACUUGUAAGUAUACCAAUGGAACUGUACCCACAACACUUAGAACUGUCUGUUUUUUGCCCAUCAGAGAUCCCGAAUGGCUGGCUUGACAACUUCUUUCCCAUGAAUAGCUUGAGGAGAUGGAACUGUACCCCUAGUGGUUGCCUAGCAAUGAGUCUUUCUCCACCUCAUUCUUAGCAAACCUCUAGGCGAGUCUAAAUCCAGAGUCACACCCAGUGACAGCAGCUGUGUCCCACAGGUGACCGAUGGGUGCUUACAUUGUAUCCAUAGGGUCCUAUUGGGCCUCCUAAGAUGUUGCACCCUGCUUCUUAACUCUUUUUCUGAACCAGAUGUGGGCAAGCGUAGGCUGCAAUUGUCCUGGAUGGUGCUUUUCCCUAGCUGCAGGUGUGGUUGACUAUGCCACUAUAGUUAAGAACCUCUGGUUUAAAACAAGAAGUCCCUGGACAUAGAAAAAGAAGGUGUGGGUCAUAAGCCUAGGCUUUUGGAGGCUACGCUCCUUUUGUGUUUGUAGGGGUUUCCCCCUCUCAAUUAGAGAGUCACUUUCUCAAGCAAUCCCUUCCUUGUAACCUACAAUGGUACAGACUAGUGAAAUUUUUUGCCCUCUUAUACAAACUAGGCCUUAUAGAAGAGAAGCUUCAGUCUUUUUACCAUCUCUUCCCCCUUUAAUGUCUCAUACAAUAUAAGCACAUGUCCAGCUACAUGGAGUCUUCAGGCACUUGCAAUUCUCUGCUUGUUUUCAUUUGUAUUAAUUCUUACUCAUAAUCAUGUUCUUUGUGAUUUUAGGGGCUCUUCAUAUCUUACCUACUUUAAAUGAGAUGACACUGGUACUGCACGCAAACUGUUUUUCAGUUGUAUAUGUCUAUGGGAAAGGGCAUUCUUUUUCUUUCUUUGUCUGUCUGUAGCUCCAUAUUAUCGUCCCAGUAUCUGCAUUAACAUUGAGUUUUUCAGUUGCUGAAGAGAAAUGGAAGAUUCAUAACUUGUUUCUGACAUCAGACACAGAAGGACAUUUUGAGUCAUUUAGGUUAAAACCAUAUUGAGUUGGGUUUCAUUUAAAUCACAGCUGGUUAGAACUCGCACCAACUUUUUUUUUAUUGCCUGUUAUCCAAUCACUUUGCUUUGUGUCUUUUUUUGGUCUACUUAUUUGCCUUUUACUGGUGAAGAUGUGACCCAAAAAGGUGACAUGGGGGGUAUGCAAGGGACAAGAUGCCUGGGGUUAUUAAACAUUAAGCUGAAUGGCUUAAAGAGGGAUUCCACCUACCUCCAUUUCUGUCGACCUUCAGAAUGCUUUUCUUAUUCUCUGGAGGAAAUUUAAAAAGGGAAAAUAUGGAGGUGGUGAGAUUGGGUGUGUGGGACAGAGGGGGAGGAAAUUAAGGGCUUUAAUCAUACUGUAAAGAAACAGAAAUAGCAGUGCUUUACCAUAUUCCCACAAUCUAAUACCAUCUGAAUAUGCUGAAUUACAGUUCUACACACUAUAUUCGGAGUAAUAGGAAUUGUAGCUCAGUAUCUCUUGAGAACAUUAUGUUGCAAGAUGGUGGAGGGGAGAAGGGAGCCCAAUUGUACAGUCUUUGGUUGAUCAGCCCAUAUAUUUUCAAUCUAGGAGGGAUAUAAAAAUGGCCAGUGGGGGUAUACAACCACUGUCUAUUUUAAUUUCUGAGGCAACAAUUGAGCAGUAUUCUGCAGGGAAAAGUCCUGGGAAGGAUAGCUAUGGGAUCUCUCAUAUUAGCAAUCAGAAAUUUUGUGCCCUGUGUUGGCUAAGGAAUAAGUGGGACUUGCCAAAUAAGUAGAAGAAGCCCUUUAAAGUCUAAUUUAUAAAUAACUUUUGUAAGGAUAAAUCAAAGUGUACAUACUGAAAUCAUUUUCUCUGUAAAUGGUUGGAUUUCAUUUCACCCUUAAAGGGAUGUUCAAAGGAAGAAAUAAAACAAAUUGAAAAUCAUGAAAGGGAA